UACGUAGGGUGCAAGCGUUAAUCGGAAUUACUGGGCGUAAAGCGUGCGCAGGCGGUUUUUUAAGUCAGAUGUGAAAGCCCCGGGCUCAACCUGGGAAUUGCAUUUGAAACUGGGAAACUAGAGUGUGUGAGAGGGGGGUAGAAUUCCAAGUGUAGCGGUGAAAUGCGUAGAGAUUUGGAGGAAUACCAGUGGCGAAGGCGGCCCCCUGGCACAACACUGACGCUCAGGUGCGAAAGCGUGGGGAGCAAACAGG
rnacentral:rRNA from 1 species